rnacentral:rRNA from 1 species
AUGGCCAUGGUGGAAUAUGAUGCACCCCCCCCCCCCACAUGGUUCCAUCAAGAUGAUGAUAUUGACAACCAUUUGAUCUUUCCCACCUCACCUACACCACUUGAGUGGAAUGAAAAAGGUAACAUAGGUGAAGGUGAUGCUCUAGUCCCACUAGUGGACAUUCUUGACAUUGAUUGCUUGCAUGAUGUUGAUCCACCUAUUGCCAUGCUUCAUGCUAGUAUGAUUUCCCCAUGUGAUGAUUUCCCCAUUUAUGAUGAAUAUGAUGAUUCUCAUGUGGAGUUUAUUAGUAGUGAUGCCAUGUUACAUAGGAUUUCUUGUGACAACUCUUUAGGUCACAUCAUGUUUGAUAAUCCGCUUGACUUGUCAUAUGCUAUGCAUGAGAUCAACCAUAUGUCUUAUUUGCAAUCUCUUCAUAGUGACUAUGCAUAUGCCAUUAAAAUAAACCCAAUUUGCACAUAUGGCAUAGAUGACAAGCCCAUGGUUAUUGGCAUUUGUUUUUCUUGUGAUGAUAUUGAUAUGCUCCCUUUGCAUAAUUUAUCUCAUAUGCCAUGCCAUGACCACCUAGAUUCGGAUAUGCAUUGUUUUGGAUGUUGUCCAUUUUCUCCAUAUGAUGUUUCCGAUAUUGCUCAUGAGGAGACCCCCAUAGUUUCCUCAUACAUGUUAGGAGAAUUUGAUCCAUCCCAUUCAUUGCAUGACCCCAAUACUUGUGUGCACCAUAUGCUCCCCUUGAAUGAAAAUGAUAUUGAUGCGCCAUAUACUUGCAUUCAAAAUUUGCAUCCCCAUCGUGUCAUACAUAAUAACUAUUCUUUCAUGAUGGAUGACAUGUUCAUAUACCAUGCAUCAAAUUUCUUUGAGCAUUUCUUAUCUUGUGCUAACUCACACGUGCACAUACACAUCAUGAUGGAUGAUGUGUACAUUUACCACGCGCACAAUUUCUUUGGUUUGUGUCUCUUUUGUGUAGGUACCCAUGAAUACUUGUUAACCUCGCAAUCCCACGAGUUGACAAAACGAGCUCUAGAGAGCAACGAUGAUUUGGAUCCCAUGGAUUGUCUUUCCCACCGCUCUCUUCGCGCAUUCAUUCUACAUGGCCCUCACUUGGCUAUGGGUUAUUGUUCAUUACAUGUCAUAUGCCCAUCUUGCCAUGUUCACUUUGCAUGA